GUGUUGGUUUGAACACACCUCACAGCCUGCAGUCUCACAUCAGGAAACAAGUAAAUAACCAACAGUGGAGCAACGUUGCAGUUAAGCACACGAGAAAGCUGAGACCAAAACUACACAGCUGCCUUUCCCCUGGGGUGUGCUCUAACCCUUAGGCUACAUCAUCUCAGGCUCCUUUUUGGUCUAAUAGUUCCUAGAUUCUUUGUUACACCGCGGCAAUAAUUCAGUUGAUGUUUUGUUACCCUAAUUUUCUCGGGCACUUUCAUGCUUAUUCACAAUUCUCCUUUUGUCUCAACUUAAGGCACUGAUCGCUGUGGUGAGCAGUUUAAGACUUCUCUGCUUGUGCUGCCUCUCUGAUGUGGGUUGCUGCCUCACAGAAGAGCUGUCAGAAUAAAUGUACAGCGGGGCUCCUACCUGACAACAAAGCCAAGCUCCCAGAUGGCUGAUAAAGAUGCAUCUGAGCCAAGACACCGGAUUUUGAAGAGGAGCAGCCAAAACAUAGGGCCAUAUUUCCUUCUGCUGACUUUGCUCGAGGGAUGGGAGCUCCAGCCCUAGGUGACAGCUAACAGCUGCAGAAUGAUAACGUCUUAAGCUGAUGCAGCUGUUGCUAAGUGACUGAGCUAAAUUUAGCAUUUUAAUUUGGCAAAUUUAACAAAUUAAUUUGGUGUGCAGGCGUUAAUUUAUUACCUUAACUAUAAAUAUAUUUAUUUAUUUUUUUUUCCUUUUUAUGUUUGAGACUGCCUGGCAAUCGUGGGAGAAGAUUAAUUUGAAUCCCUAGCCCCGUCUGGUUUCACCAUUCUUUCCUAGCUGAUCCUGGGAUGUGAUUGAUGUCUUGCCACCCAAUUCCUUAAUUGCACUUUGCAGUGAUGAAGAAAACUGUAUAAUACAUGAAUUGCAAGCCAGUCUCUUGUCAAAGCAGAUGAAAUAAUUAUUUGGAAAACCAAUCAGGAAGCAUUCAAAUGUUCCUCGGUGACGUGACUCCUUUAGCUGUAUGGCUUGCUUCCUUCGAGAUCGCAGACAUCAGUGUUAAGAUUAGCCUGGCGUUGUGAAAGUGCUUACUCGGCGUUUCAUCACCAGGAUGAGCGCUGCUGGGUUUUCGUGCUACUGCUCCUCUGCCAAUGUCAAACAGAUUUAGGCAGAGCGAGCCUCGCAUGCUGAAACCUGGUCAGUCCUGAAACAGCAUGUUAAAACAAGAGCUUGCAGUUGGAUGCACUUUGCUGUGGGGAUCGGCUGAGAAUUCAGACUGAUACAGAUACCUUGCAACUGGAUACCCAUGAGAAUGAACGAGCUGAACUGAAAGAGAUUAAGCAGCUCUUUGUACAUUCUUCCCUGUGAAGUGUAAAGAACUGAGGGCUUCAUUGUUUUGUAACCACUUAAAAAUUAAAGGGGAAAAACAAUUACUUUAGCACGGUCCUCCUGAGUAGGGUUUUAUUAAAUCUGCACUUUCCAGAAGUCUGGGCAUAUGUGCAUAAAACAAAAAGUCCUCCACAGAGAUUGCACAACAAAGCGCUGUCCACUGUGUAACUUAAAUGUACCCAGCCCCAGUUCCCCGUGAGCAAGAAGCUUUCCCACACUUUCAAGCGCAGUCCACAUACAUCAGCAGUUGGCUCCCUUUCUGCAUUAUGCUUUGAAAACUAUUUACCUUAUGCCUCUGGGCCUUUUCUCUCUGUACAGCCAUUUACGUCGUCCCUCCUGGGUGGGAUAAAAGCCACUGUCAACAGGGUAAGUUUCGGUAUCGUGUCUUUCUGCAAGACUGCUAACACAAAACCUUCGCACAGAGGCUGCCAACCUGGGGCAAACAGCAGUACGAAACGUGUCUGGUUUAGCUUUCCCUACAGUUCACCUGCCUGCUGAAGAUCAGAUCUCUGUGUGCCUGUACGGCCAGGUUUGUUCUACCAGGCUUAUUUUUUCUAGGAUUGUAAGCAUUUAGAUGCAGUUUAAAGGAUUGAUCUCGUCUGAGAACAGAGCUGGGAAACAGGAACUCCUGAAUUCAUGAAGCGUAAUUGCAGUAGUUUUGCUGCAUGGCCUCGGGCUGCUGGUUGAGCUCUUAUCUCAUUUUGCCCAUCUGUAAUACUGCUCAAAGGGUGCUUUGGUGAUUAAUUUAUGCUGAUGAAGUUAAUUAUUUGGUAAGAGUUGAAUAAUUCGAUAAGAAUCUUAAUAUAUCCCAGCAAAUGUGGCAAAAAGAAAAUAGCCAGCCCUAAAACUGUUAAUUAACAAAGCCAGACGAGAUGGUGAGACUCAGGACAAAAACCUCAUCACAGAAAUUACUGCAGUUACAGUGGUGCUUUUUAUCUAAACCGGAGAUCCUAGAUGAAGUUACUCUUCCAGAGCUAGCAUAGCUUGAUGUUCCUCUGUUUCCAGAGGCAGCUUGACAGGAAUGUAAUUAGAGGGUGGCACGUUCCUGAAAUCUCAGCUGUACCUUGGCGGUUUCGGGAGAUCUUAGUUGUACGUGAUGGUGCCCAGUGAAAGGGUUCAUGUGCUAGUAUGAUGUUAUUUUGUAGUUCCUGUAGGUAGGAAUUGGAAAUGAUGUGUGAAGGCAGAGAAAAAUUGUUCUUCCCUCAUUUAAGACAAUGUACCUAGUUCCAUAUAUGUUCUACUUUACAACAUUUUGAAAAAACAAACAACAAUUUAUUAAGUUUUCCUGAGUCCUGCAGAGCGAUCUGCAGCUCAUCAGUGAUUAGGAGGGCAUUUUGAGAUGUGCAUCAUAUCAAAAGAAUUCUGCAGGGCCAGCUCUCUUGGCAGGCUGAAAGUGAUCUGUAUCUCCAGCACCGGUCGGUCACCCUAAAACCAAUCAAACCAAUUUAACCAGUGCCACUCUGCCCAGCAAAAUGCCCCUGAGCUUUUCUAGCUCCCUCUACUGGAUUGAGCGUGGAAGCUGCUCUUUACCUGGCAAAAUGGGAUCUCCAGCUCAAUAUUUUAGGUGAGAUAAUACUGCACACAAAUCUGAGUUAUCUUGCUGUUUAUGAUAACACAUGUGCCUCAUGUCAGUGCAGAUUACGUUGCUGAAGACCUUUGCUUUGCUCUUUAAUAGAACUGAACUGCACUGCUGCUCCAAGCUGGCAUGAAAUAUCUCAAAAUUCAGCAUAAUUUUUCCUUUGUGUUACGAUUCACUUAAUUCACCUUGGACACAAAGCAAAUAGGUAGGAACGAAGGAUAUUGGUGUCAUAUUUUCACACUUUGCUUGGGAAGCAUCAGUACAAACCACCCAGAGACUCCACGUCUGUCGGUGCCUUGCAGUUUAUGGCUGCUAUUCGUGCAACCCAGUGAGGCAGAAUCUCAGAGAUAAGGAAGAGAACAGGGGAAGAUUUCUCCCUGCAGUUCAUUCUCCGGGGUUUUGUUCAGCCCACUUUUAAAUGGCUCGAGCAACCGAAGUGGUUCGGGCUAUGACAUUUUGGCAGGGUGUGAAACAAACCCUGGCAGAGGUGUUAUGACUGAAGGGCUGGUUUUGUUCUCUCUGAAAUGUGUGGCAAAUGCCUCUCGAGCUCCAGCCAGAACAGGAUCGGGUCCUCAGAGUCCCGCAGUUUGAAUAAGCUCAGCAAAACCAGCAAAAGAAUCUAACUCUGUUGCACCAUUACAUUGUUACAAACUCUUUUGGCUCACUGUCCUCUGCUUACGGUGUCCUCCAACGCAGCCAAGACUUUCUGGGUAGAAAAAUGAGCUGGUUUUGUUAGGUUUUGAGUGAUAAAGUAGCCCUAGAUUAGUACUCGCUGUCUGGUGUCUCCUUCGGACUGCCUCUUGCAUUACGUAGCUGUUUUUUUUUUUUUUUUUUUUUUUUUUUUAAACCUUGUACUGGAAGUGGAACCUCUCCAGAGGCAUACUUAAAAAAAAAUCAAUAGAAAAGAAAAGCUAAUUGAUUUUUUUACUAUAAUUUUUAUUAUUAUUUUCCUUAUAAGAUAUCCCAUUAAACUUGGGCAGUCCCUACUGAAAGGCAAGUUUACUGCAGUCUUUUACAAUGUUAUUUCAGAGAUGUCUCCCUUAUUGCCUUGAUAUUAUAGCUUUCUUGUUUUAUUUCUCCCCACUUACAGGUAAAAAGACGUUUUAAAAAUAAUAUAUAUAGAUAAUUUGGAUUAAUUUCACUUUUAGCAGUGUCAUUCUGGAUUUCCUCCUGGUUCAACAGGAGCUGUUGAUUUCAAGUUACCUGUAAAUCUGUGUUCUUCCAGAUUCUCACAGACAAGUGUUUAUUGAAUCAUUGGAAUAUAGGAAAACAGAAGAAAAGGAAUAGAAAAUUAGAGAAGAGCAAAGUCAUUACAAGCAUGUGUUAUGAAAACAUCAGAGCUCCAUAAGCUGAAUCCUGGAAAGAAAGAGCACGCUCUGCGAUUUCUGCAGGUAUUUCACCCGUCUGGAGACACGCUCCCAUGUGCUUGGGAUGUUUGCCUGCCUCUACCAUGCUACUUUCCGUGCUUCCUGCGCUGUCAGCAAGUUCCUUCAUGCUCCAAAGACCCAAGUGAAUGAGCAGGAUGUACGAGCUUCCCCUGUUGCCCUCACCUCACUUCUGCCAGCCUCCCAGCGGAGCCCCUCUGGCUCUCCAGAUACAUAAGGCUUCCAGAAUCAACUAGUCACUUGCGGCUGCCCUAGUAUUCAUCCUGACUUGCUGACUGCUCACCAAAGCACUGAGUGCUCUUAGCUGUCACUGUGCAAUUUCCUGGCUAAAGGAGAUCUGGAAUGUAAAAGUAUUCAUCACCAGAGGUUUUGCUGGAUUCCAGGCCUUCAAUGAAGCAGGCGCAUCCCUGCUCUCCUCAGGAGGCUUUGUGAUUUAGAGGACGGUACAGAAGGAAGUUGCUCGUCAGGUCUCGAUGCAGGACAGACAGGUAAUUGUGUUCAGUUUCAACUCCAGCUCUGACGAGGGUUUCUUGAUAAGGCUGAUGGUGGCUGCCUGUGAAGUGAGGGCACCGAUACGCUGCCCUGUGCUGAUUAAACACCUUUGCCUCACAUCCAGCCGACAGCCUCCAUACAGACCCUGCUUCGGGUGAGUUCAUGCAGUCUGAGUGGUUUCAAAUCAAGUUUUAAACCUACCCAGCAGAGGAAGGAAUUCCGAGCGUGCAGUCCCACGACAGGUUAAGCUCAUUGGGCUCAACUCUGCGGCAGCCCAACCUUCCCUGCCAGCCCGGGCCUCGCGUUCUCGCUACCUCUAUUUGUUUAUUUCUUUUUGUGGGAUUCAUUUUCUGCUGCUUUAGUUCCUGGACAAACUUAUCAGGGGAACUGAUAACUGUUGGUAUGAGGGGGAAGGGCAAGACUGUGGCAGCGCUGUUGUGUAGGUGCAAAGGCGGGGCAGACGUGGUGAGCUGUGUUAUUUGCCUCCCUUUUGCCCCUAUCUACCUGCUUCACUUCACGUUUUAUGUCUGUAUGUCUAGACGGCGGGUUCUGAGCAGGCAGCCUCACCGUGCCCGUGAACAUCCGUGCCAUCAAAUCCCUCCUCUUCUUCGUCACAAGCACUGAGCAGAAAACUCUUCUGUUAAAUAGGGCACUCACGCUCCCUCGCAUGACCGAGCCGGCUCGGCGAUAGUACGGUGCGAUACCAAUCGCAGGAAUUGAGUCAGCGCAGCGCUGUGUGGUGAUCUGCUCCCUGCCGGGUGGCCACACUGCUGGGGUGACCGGGAACGAUUUAUU